AACGAACGCUGGCGGCAUGCCUAACACAUGCAAGUCGAACGAGACCUUCGGGUCUAGUGGCGCACGGGUGCGUAACGCGUGGGAACCUGCCCUUAGGUUCGGAAUAACUCCCCGAAAGGGGUGCUAAUACCGGAUAAUGUCUUCGGACCAAAGAUUUAUCGCCUUUGGAUGGGCCCGCGUUGGAUUAGCUAGUUGGUAGGGUAAAAGCCUACCAAGGCGACGAUCCAUAGCUGGUCUGAGAGGAUGAUCAGCCACACUGGGACUGAGACACGGCCCAGACUCCUACGGGAGGCAGCAGUGGGGAAUAUUGGAAAAUGGGCGAAAGCCUGAUCCAGCAAUGCCGCGUGAGUGAUGAAGGUCUUAGGGUUGUAAAGCUCUUUUACCCGGGAUGAUAAUGACAGUACCGGGAGAAUAAGCUCCGGCUAACUCCGUG
rnacentral:rRNA from 1 species